CUGGGGUUCUGUGGCAGCCGCUGCAGGAAGCUAAAGUGUGGGCAGCCAGGUGGCUGUCCCGCAGGAGAGGCCGGCCUCCACCCCCGGGUGCCUGGGGCCCCACACAGACCCACGGUCCCCUCCCGUGGCUUACGCCUCGCGUGGCAGGGAGCACACUUCCCGCCCGUCACGUGGCCGUGUCUGGGGGGUCCUCACAUUGCUUUCUGGGAAGAUCAGACAGACACAGACAGCGGAUCCUUGAGCGACGAGCUGGUAAGGAGAGGGCGGGAGAGGACAGGAGUGGAGAAGGGCCCUGGGUGGCCCGGCAGCUCCCCCCACCCCAGUGUACCUGCAGCAGGAGCCCCGGUCCCAGAAAACCAGGCGUGUUUCCCUGCCUGACUGCGGUCCCCAGGGGGCCCCGUCUGCUCAGACGCUGGAGCCAUCGUCCUCGGCCAGGGCUUACUUUACACCUAAUGGCCCCGCUUACACCUGCUUGCCGAUCCCAGGGACGUGAUCUUAGGGACGCCGGUCCGUCUGAGCGGUGUCCCCGGGAGGCCGCGAGCCUCAGCGCACUCCCGGGGCCUCGGGGCCGCGUCUCUGUCCACCUCUGCCGAGCGACCUCUGCCGAGCGACCUCUGGGUUUGUGACCAGCGGCCCCGUUUGCCUUGCACACACAUGGGCUCUGGUGCAGAAUAAAGCUAAGGAGGCCCAGCCCUGUGCCCCUCUGUUCGCUGGCGGUGGUGAGUUUGCUGGGGUGCCUGACCGUCCGACUGCCCCGGGGUCGAUGGGGACGCUGCAGGCCCAGGCGUGUGGGGGUACGUGGCCACAUCAGUGCCCAGUGAGGAAGGAGCUCAACCCUGAUGUUUGCCUGGGCUGCCCUUAAGAGCGGGGACACCGUGGUCCCAGAGCAGGCCCAACCCCCAAGAGCGGGGACACCGUGGUCCCAGAGCAGGCCCAACCCUCAAGAGCGGGGACACCGUGGUCCCAGAGCAGGCCCAACCCCCAAGAGCGGGGACACCGUGGUCCCAGAGCAGGCCCAACCCCCAAGAGCGGGGACACCGUGGUCCCAGAGCAGGCCCAACCCCCAAGAGCGGGGACACCGUGGUCCCAGAGCAGGCCCAACCCCCAAGAGCGGGGACACCGUGGUCCCAGAGCAGGCCCAACCCCCAAGAGCGGGGACACCGUGGUCCCAGAGGAGGCCCAACCCCCUAAGAGCGGGGACACUGGUCGCAGAACUGGCCCAACCCCCAAGAGGGGGGACACUGGUCCCAGAGGAGGCCCAACCCCCAAGAGGGGGGACACUGGUCCCAGAGGAGGCCCAACCCCCAAGAGUGGGGACACCGUGGUCCCAGGCGAGGCCCAAGCAGCAAAGGAAACCUCUGGUUCACUGGAAGGUGAGAGACAGGUGUGGGGUCUUCACGACAUGUGCUGUCAUCCUGGGCUGUCCCCCUGCCCUCACACUGAGGCCCCACCUGUGGGCACUCGCCCAGUCGUGAGUCUGUGUCCACGGGACUCUGGCGUGGCCCCCGGCCACUCCCUGGUGGCCUGGCCAGAGCACAGGGCAGACGGGGGCCGCCUGAGGCAGGCGCAUCCUGUGUGGGCUUCGUGCCCACGAUUUGCGCAGUGUUCCCACGGAGCUCCCUGCCCAGUGGGACGACCGUCAUGGGUCUCGGAGAGGAAGCUCAGCCCCAGCGGGGUUAAAUGACUUGCCCCAGGGACACAGCCCAGAAGUGGCAGAACUGGGACCCAGUCCAGGGCUGUCCCCCCCCGCACCUGGGUACACGCACCCCGACCUCUCCACUGCUCUGACAGUGCACGAGAGGCUGGGUAGGCGGCCACCGAGGUAGCCUCCAAGGAAAACGGGCUCCCGGGGCUCCAGCCCCCUUCCCUGUAAGAGCAGGGACCAGGCCUGCAGGCUGAGCCCCCAGGGCAGCUGUGCGGGCAGAGACGCAGGGAGUGCGAAUUCGCAAACCAGUGAGGUGUGGGUCAUUACCCACCUGCCCGCUCUCAGGUGAUUACCCACGGGACCCAGGCCUCUUCCGGACGGGCAGGUCCACGAUCAUCGCUGUGGCAUGUCCUCUGUGCCCCGAAAACGGUAGCCAAGGCCUCCAGCCAGAAGGAAUCAUGCCGGACGCCAACCAUGAACACAAAAUGCUUUCGGAUCAUCUAACACGCAAGGGAAUUCUGCGUGGCCCCCCGGCCACCCAACAGCUUCGUGGCUGGGUGCUGUUUUCCCCACGACGCCUUCCAGCUUUUGGUCCCUGUGAGCGGUGAGCCCAGCAGCCAUGGAGCGGGCAAGACCCAGGAGGAAGGAGACACGGGCUGCAGGGAGCCUCCUCUUCCGGCCUGCAGGUCAUUGGGAACACGUCGCCCGGGGGUUCGGGACCACCACACACCGAGGCCCCACGGCGGCCAGACCUGCCGCCCCGCCCCGACUGCGUUGUUACGUCUCACGGGCCAUCGCACAGGAGACACGUGGCAUUGAAGCUAUUACCAAAUAUUCGACAGCUAAAUUUGCACUGGAGUGAUCUGCCUGCUUUUCUGUAAACAUGUCACAGGGGAAGAGGAGUGAUUCCCGCCCCCCUGUGCCGCAGGCAGACUCAGCAGCCUCGUGGGGCCCCGUGGCACCCCACGCGUAAGGGGGAAGCCCCAAAUCAGUUAAAGCUUAGUGACGGGAAGAGGUCGUCCCUUCCCACCCACAUCCACAGGCCCAGGCGUGUCCAGGAGAGAGUCCCCUCCUCCGCCGUCCCCCCUCCAGGCCCCUGUCUUUCCUCGUGCCCACUGAGGUCCUGGACCAGCUCCUUGGAAGUACCUGCUCCGGGUGGCCCUCCGGCCUCGCCCUUGGCCUCCAGCCAGCUGGGCCCGUGUUGGCCCGACACUCCCAUGGUCCUCCUGUCCGCACCUCUGCUCGCACCAGACCCGGCCCACCCCAGGCAGUCCCCUCCAGCUGCUCUGCACCCCCCCCGCCCCCCUGCAACUCAUCCCACUCCUGAGCCUGGCCCCCCACUCCCCGCGGACUCUUGUCCGACCCAGACCCGUGGGGCGGGCCACAGCCCCACCUGCUGGAGCUGGGAGCCCGGCCCCCCGGGGAAGGGGGGCUGCUGGCAGGGGCUGGGCCGGAACAGGAGCUCCGGGCAGGCCUGGCUGUCUGUCCCUGGGCCUGAAGGGCUGCUGACGGGAGGCAGCUGGUUUCCAGCGACAGGCGGCCUGGAGGCAAUGGCACCUGUCAUCAUUUCCGCCCUUCCGUGCUCCCCACGGGGCUGCAGGAAUCUGCCAGCUCAGAUCUGCGGCGGGGGCCGGGGGCUUCUGGGGCGCACACAUCCCACGGUCUCGCUGCACGAGGUUGCCCCUGGAGCCGGGCCCCGGGCUGCGGGUCCCCUGUCCCCAGGCCCGGCGGGGAGGGUGGUGGACACACUCUGAGCCCCGCCCCCCGGGAACAUGCAGGGGUCAGUUGCUCUCCGCCAGAACUCACUAGUUUCGCAGCCUCAGUCUGGCCCCCAGGCCUGAUUUUCUGUGGCCGCAUCUGGAAGAUGGGCGUAGGCUGUUGACGUGGGGGCCUCAGUACAAGCCUCCCCAAAGUGCCCCUCCCAUCAGCUCUGGCUGCUUCUUUUCUGUCGGCAUCCCUUCCCCCGCACCCCCAGCCUGCCCCUGCCCCACGCGGGAGCCCCAGAGGCGCUCCCCCACUGCCUGGACGAGGCCGGAUUCUGGGACAGGCAGCGAGGACCGGCCUGGGGGUCCAGCCUCAGCGAGGACUCCUGAACCAGGAGGCACAGUGGGGUCUUUCCUGCUCAUCCUGAACAUGCGUGAAUGUCUGGCAGUCCCCUGGCUCACCUUACCCAGAGGCCCGACACCCCCAUGGCAGGUCAGCAGAGCAAGCAGGGAACCUCGGGCGGGAGGCCCGGCGAGCACAGGUCACUGUCUUCCCCCGGCCUCGUCCUCAGUCUCCAGGAUGACCCCUGGGACCGCCAACCUCCUGUCUCCUCUGCACCCGGCCUUGGAGAGACUUCACAUAAAUGAGGAGGGGGUCUGGUGACGCACUUCCUGCUUCCCCCCAAGGAAGAGACCAUUUCCUUACUCUUUUCCUUCUGUUAGUCCUUUUUCUUAGAAGAAUAUUGUAAGAUUUUUUUUUUUGGCCUCCGAAUAUAGUUCCCUAAGAGUCCACACUCUAAAUACUGAUUUUUUAUAGCAACACCAAGAUUUCUCACCACGAACUUGGUCAGCCGUCGGGUUCAUUGCUCCCGUCUGCGCCCAAGUGGUAGGGACACCUUCUUGGUGACCUCACUUAGCAAAGCAUUUACGGGGCUCCGGAGCAAGAGGGACCUGCGGGUGGGCGGGAGGACCACGGGAGCCUUGCCCCUUCCUCUCCCCCCCAUGCCCCCUCACGGCCAUUUCCAUUCUUUGGGGGGUUCUCUGUCCACUGGUCCUCUUAGAAAGUACAAGAAGCACACGCACACCCACAAAGCCCACUCUGCACCUUGCUUGGCUCAGAUGUCACAGCACACGGGUCCUCAUGCUGUCCCUCGAGCCCGCCACCCCCCACCCCCACCCCCCCCAUGGCCGCAGCGCACUCCUGGGAAGGUCGGCCAGAGUUUAGUCAACCGACGUCCUGUGACGGGCAUUUGGGAUUCUCAGCCUUUGCUCCCCCCGCGCACAACCCCAGCAAAGGCCUUGGCGUGACGGACCCCGUUCCCUCCAGAGAAGGCACCUUUUUGCUUUCCCACCCAAGAUCAGUGACAAGACCUGCAUGU